rnacentral:misc_RNA from 1 species
GAAAUGCGAUAAGUAGUGUGAAUUGCAGAAUUCAGUGAAUCAUCGAAUCUUUGAACGCACAUUGCGCCCUUUGGUAUUCCUUAGGGCAUGCCUGUUCGAGCGUCAUCUAAACCUUCAAGCCCUGCUUGGUGUUGGGUGCCUGUCCCGCCUCCGCGCGCGGACUCACCUCAAAUCCAUUGGCGGCCCCCGCGUCGGCCACGAGCGCAGCAGAAACGCGAACUCGUGAGCCCGUCCGGGCGGCUCCCAGAAGCUACACCUACCCAGUUUGACCUCGGAUCAGGUAGGGAUACCCGCUGAACUUAAGC